CCUACGGGAGGCAGCAGUGGGGGAUAUUGCACAAUGGCGGAAACCCUGAUGCAGCGACGCCGCGUGUGGGAAGACGGUCCUCUGGAUUGUAAACCACUUUCCCCAGGGACGAAGAUGACGGUACCUGGGGUGGAAGCUCCUGCUAACUACGUGCGAGCAGCCGCGGUAAUACGUAGGGAGCGAGCGUUUUCCGGAAUUACUGGGUGUAAAGGGAGCGUAGGCGGGGAUGCAAGUUGGGUGUAAAAACUACCGGCUCAACUGGGAGUCGCACUCAAAACUGCAGCUCUUGAGUGAAGUAGAGGCAGGCGGAAUUCCUAGUGUAGCGGUGAAAUGCGUAGAUAUUAGGAGGAACACCAGUGGCGAAGGCGGCCUGCUGGGCGUUUACUGACGCUGAGGCUCGAAAGUGUGGGGAGCAAACAGGAUUAGAUACCCCAGUAGUC
rnacentral:rRNA from 1 species